AUGCCAUCCCCUGUCCCCUGUCCGUCUCCCGUUCUCCGUCUCUCUGUCAGUCGCUCGGUGUCUCCCUCUCUCUGUCUCUCCCUCCCCGUGUGUGCCUGCGCGCUCGUGUCUGUCUGUCUGUCUGUCUGUCUGUCUGCAUCUGCCUCGCGCCGUCUUGGGAGUGUGUCUCUGAACCUUCAUCUCUUUCUGUCUCUGUCUCUCCUGACCCCCGGCCUCCCACGGGUGCUAUGGCUGUGGCCCUGGCUGCCGCGCUGGCGCCGGCCGGCUGUCUCACGUGGCGUGGGUGCCUGCGAGUGUCUGUGUGUCUGUCCGUGUGCCUGCAUGUCGCUCGUCUGCUCCCUCCGGAAGGUCCUGUGCUUGGAGGGCGGCGUGGGGGCAAGGGGGGCCUCGGGAGGGCGAAGGGGCGGGGCGGGGCGGACGAGCUCUUGGUUCACCGCGCUGGUGGCUCCAGGUGGCUUUGGGCACCGGGCAGGUGCCGGGCAGGAUGGGCGCUCAGGGCCACGGCUGGGCUGCGCACAGGCCCGCAGGAGGCUCAGAGGACCGCGGGCCCCAGCGGGCCCCGAAGCCAGAGAGCUCCGGGGCCACGUGGCCCUGAGCAGCGAAGGCCUUGGUGGGGUGGCGGGGGAGGCGGGGAGGGGGCGGGGCGGACGAGCUCUUGGUUCACCGCGCUGGUGGCUCCAGGUGGCUUUGGGCACCGGGCAGGUGCCGGGCAGGAUGGGCGCUCAGGGCCACGGCUGGGCUGCGCACAGGCCCGCAGGAGGCUCAGAGGACCGCGGGCCCCAGCGGGCCCCGAAGCCAGAGCUCCGGGGCCACGUGGCCCUGAGCAGCGAAGGCCUUGGUGGGGUGGCGGGGGAGGCGGGGAGGGGGCGGGGCGGACGAGCUCUUGGUUCACCGCUGGUGGCUCCAGGUGGCUUUGGGCACCGGGCAGGUGCCGGGCAGGAUGGGCGCUCAGGGCCACGGCUGGGCUGCGCACAGGCCCGCAGGAGGCUCAGAGGACCGCGGGCCCCAGCGGGCCCCGAAGCCAGAGCUCCGGGGCCACGUGGCCCUGAGCAGCGAAGGCCUUGGUGGGGUGGCGGGGGAGGCGGGGAGGGGGCGGGGCGGACGAGCUCUUGGUUCACCGCUGGUGGCUCCAGGUGGCUUUGGGCACCGGGCAGGUGCCGGGCAGGAUGGGCGCUCAGGGCCACGGCUGGGCUGCGCACAGGCCCGCAGGAGGCUCAGAGGACCGCGGGCCCCAGCGGGCCCCGAAGCCAGAGCUCGUCUGAUCUCGGAAGCUAAGCAGGGUCGGGCCUGGUUAGUACUUGGAUGGGAGACCGCCUGGGAAUACCGGGUGCUGUAGGCUUUUCUUUCUUUCUUUUUUUUUUUGCCUCCCCUCUCCUUUAGCGCCCGCCCCCCCCCCGCAAGCCCCACCUGCCGCUGGCCCCUCGCACCCCAGCGCGCUCAGAGCGGUCGCCUGCCUUCCAGCCCCUCCCGGGGUGGGUGGCCGGGGCCCCGACUCCCGCUGCAGACCUGGGUUGCCUCCGGGCGGCCCGCGAGCCCCUCCGCAUUCGACUUCCAGGAAACCAGAGGACCGGCGAGGGCGGGGGUGGAGGGGGUGCUCUCUCUCUGGGGCUCCCUUGGCAGGCCUCAGGCACUUCUGGGCGGGGCCCCGGCCCCAGCCCCCGCCGCAGCCGCAGCCCCCGGCCCGUCCCCAGCCCCACCCCUCGACGCAUCCUCGCAGGCAACCGCUGGGUCUCCCGCAGGCGCGCGCGCACAACACUCACACACACACACACACAAAACAGUCACGCACACACACACCCCGCCCCACCGCCGCCGAGAAAGGUCAAGAGCCGGAGACCACAGGUAAGGGAGACGGAGAAACAGGGAGAGAGAGAGACAGACAGCAAGAGGACCACACAGACUUCCAAACCCCCGGCCGCCACACCCUGUCCCCUCCAUUCUGGGUUUCCCCCGGCCCCCAGUCGACCGGACCCCACCGUCGCCCACCGACACUCACACACACACUCUCACGCACUCACCCUCUGGCCUGGGGGCGGGGGCUGGGUUUCGCCGUAGGUGGCCAAGCCGAAGGGGACCUUUGAGACCUCGGAUGCGAGGAAGUCCGGGGGUCCCCACGGGUGAUUGCCAGCCCCAGGGCGCUGCGUCCAGCCGGGGCCCGCCGGCCCAAGGCUGACGCCCCCUCCCUUAGGGAAGCUGCUUCUGCCGCACGGCCUCUCUCUGAGGUGUGUCACGGUCUGUGCCAGUGUGUCUAUCUCGGGCGGAUGCCAUCCCUGUCCCUGUCCGUCUCCCGUUCUCCGUCUCUCUGUCAGUCGCUCGGUGUCUCCCUCUCUCUGUCUCUCCCUCCCCGUGUGUGCCUGCGCGCUCGUGUCUGUCUGUCUGUCUGUCUGUCUGUCUGUCUGUCUGUCUGUCUGUCUGUCUGUCUGUCUGUCUGUCUGUCUGUCUGUCUGUCUGUCUGUCUGUCUGCAUCUGCCUCGCGCCGUCUUGGGAGUGUGUCUCUGAA
rnacentral:lncRNA from 1 species